GAAGAACUGGUCAGAUUAUCUCGUAUUUACAAAAAUGCUUUCCUACUUACCUAAGAGCUAAGAGAUUUGAGAAUUGAUUGAGGAAAUAUUCAUUAGACAUUUUUGAGACUUUUAAAAUAUAGAAGCUGAUGUAUGUUAAGACGUUUAAGAAGUUUAAUAUAAAUAGUGUGAAUAAUUCUCAGCUUCACUAUUGGUCAGGGAAAUACAAAUUAAAACCAGUCUUUUGGCUGAAAAGUCCAUAUGCUGAGUGAAAAAUAUGUUGUUUUUAAGACCUGGGUUGGAAAGUUCAUCGACUCUGCAGCAUAGUGAGAGAUUCCAUUCUUGGAACUUGGAAAAAAGGUCCAAGGGAUGUGGAAGUUAGGGGAUAGGUUUAUUGGACAAGAUGUUUAUGAAGUGUUCCUGGGUUCAUAAGAGAUAUGAGUCCUAGAAUGAUACACCCAGUGUUCUUCUGUUAUGGAAGUUCCACUUCCUACUGGUCAUGAAUCUACCGACCCAGCAGAAAAGAAGGCAUAAGACGAAACCAUUCAGCAUCUGCAUGCUUUCUAUUUCUUCCAUUUACUGGAUCUUCCUUGGAUUGUAACUUUAUCCAGUCAGUAUUCCCAAGAAAUACCGUAACAGGAGACCAAAGCAAGGAAAAAUGUAAUGAAAGGCAAUAAGAAGCUAAGAUUCCAUUUACAGAGUUACAUUUACAGACUUCAGAAAGUCAUCUCUUCCACAAAGUUAAGUGCUACUGUAAUUGGACUUCCUUUAGGAAAGAACCAAGGAUUUGAAGUUCUUUGGACUUGGAGGGCCAGAAUUUUC
rnacentral:lncRNA from 1 species